rnacentral:rRNA from 1 species
AUUGAACGCUGGCGGCAGGCCUAACACAUGCCAGUCGAGCGGAUGAAGGGAGCUUGCUCCUGGAUUCAGCGGCGGACGGGUGAGUAAUGCCUAGGAAUCUGCCUGGUAGUGGGGGAUAACGUCCGGAAACGGGCGCUAAUACCGCAUACGUCCUGAGGGAGAAAGUGGGGGAUCUUCGGACCUCACGCUAUCAGAUGAGCCUAGGUCGGAUUAGCUAGUUGGUGGGGUAAAGGCCUACCAAGGCGACGAUCCGUAACUGGUCUGAGAGGAUGAUCAGUCACACUGGAACUGAGACACGGUCCAGACUCCUACGGGAGGCAGCAGUGGGGAAUAUUGGACAAUAGGCGAAAGCCUGAUCCAGCCAUGCCGCGUGUGUGAAGAAGGUCUUCGGAUUGUAAAGAACUUUAAGUUGGGAGGAAGGGCAGUAAGUUAAUACCUAGCUGUUUUGACGGUACCGACAGAAUAAGCACCGGCUAACUUCGUG